rnacentral:tRNA from 1 species
GACCGUGUAGCUCAGUUGGAAGGGCAUUGGACUAGUAUUCCAAAGGUCAUAGGUUCGAUUCCCACCGUGGCCA